rnacentral:rRNA from 1 species
ACAGCAGCCGCCACGGUAAUACGAAGGGGGCUAGCGUUGUUCGGAAUUACUGGGCGUAAAGGGCGCGUAGGCGGCCAUUCAAGUUAGAUGUGAAAGCCCUGGGCUCAACCUAGGAAUUGCAUUUGAUACUGUUUGGCUUGAGUUCGGGAGAGGUGAGUGGAAUUCCCAGUGUAGAGGUGAAAUUCGUAGAUAUUGGGAAGAACACCAGUGGCGAAGGCGGCUCACUGGACCGACACUGACGCUGAGGCGCGAAAGCGUGGGGAGCAAACAGGAUUAGAUACCCGAGUAGUCCCUGUCUCUUAUAC